UACAGAGGGUGCGAGCGUUAAUCGGAAUUACUGGGCGUAAAGAGUGCGUAGGUGGAUUUAAAAGUCAGAUGUGAAAGACCAGGGCUUAACCUUGGGGUUUGCAUUUGGUACUGUGAAUCUAGAAUGUGGUAGGGGGUAGUGGAAUUUCCGGAGUAGCGGUGAAAUGCGUAGAUAUCGGAAGGAACACCAGUGGCGAAGGCGACUACCUGGACUGACAUUGACACUGUGGCACGAAAGCGUGGGUAGCGAACAGG
rnacentral:rRNA from 1 species